CAAACUGUUACAAUGUUACGAUAUACACAGAUAAAUGAUAAAUACACAAUUAUUAGAAUAAAAUGACAUUAAAGCAAAUGAGCAAUAAACAUUAAAGAAUGAUAUCCAAACAAAAAUAUAUUUUUCCAAGAAAUGAUAAAUUCCUUGCAGCAUUUUAACCAUCUGCCCACCUACUUCCCUAAUGAAAUCAUUAAUUAUUUGAUUUAUGUACAAUAAUUAAAAUGAUCUCAUUUUCACAUUCUUCUUAACAGUGUGGGGUUUAAUUGGCUAAGCUCUUCAUUUCAUCUGGGAUGAGGGCAUUGUCUAUCCAUAAUAAGGACAGAAAAUAUGAUAGUUACUCAUUUUAUCAAACUGAUGAAGUUAUUUUGCUGCUAUUACAGUAUACCCCUUGGAAAACAGUGCUGUCCCCAUAAGCCUGCUACUCUUGUCCUUGAUGGUAGCAUUAAGAGGUGGCAAGAAACUACAGUGCAUUUUUUUUCCCUAGAUGGUACAUGCUGCAGCUAUAAUACGCCAGUAGGGGAGGGGCAAUGUUUAAGGAAGUCAAUGAGAUAAAAAAAUACUUUGCAGUGGAAGGAUCAUGUGGGCAUAGUUGGGAGGUGUGCCCACACAAGCGAAUGGAAACAAACACAAUGUACGUUUAUAUACACACACGAAUAUGAGGAAGAUGGAGGGAUAUGGACAUUGUGCAGGCUCCCCAGCCCACUCAGAGUUCUUCCAGCAUCUUGUGUGUUCCACUGUUAUGUUUGAACUCACAAAACCUGCAAGUGCCCUGCUUUUUAUCAUCUUUCAAAUAAUACAAGUGAAAACGGAUCAUCAAAAGCAAGAAAAUUGAAAAUCCUGGACAUGCACAUCAGGCCAGGUUGGUUCAAGAACCAGAUGGUUGGAGGGAAGUGGCUGUUCCUGAACGUGGUGGUGUGGGAUCGAGACUUCUGUACUGUCUGCUCUGUGGUUACUGUGAGGAGAUGGCAUGGCUCAGAUGGUGGGGACCUUUGAUAAUGGAUCUUGCCUUCUUAAGGCAGCACCUCAUGUGGAUACUACCAAUGAUGGGGAGAGAUUUGUUCUUGAUGUAAAUUGCUUUUUAUUAACACAAUACACUUUGUUCAUAAUAAAAAAAAUAUAUAUUUGCAUUACUGUCCCAGGGAAAACCAUUGUUUCAUCAAAGUUUAAUGGAUAGUGGGAUAGGUUUGGAGAAUGAUGGCUUGAUUAUGAUACUGCAUUUUGCAUAUUUAAAUUUUCUAAUGAGGCACUAAGUAAGACAUAGUCAGCAAUCACAUCUUGAUACCAGCUCCACUAAAUUUUGGUCCCAUUUUUUGCUUGAUUAUGAUCUAUGUAUCAGUUUAUGGGGCAUAGCAAAACUGAAAAUUUCCCUCAAAUAUGUUUACUAGAGAAAAGAUGUUACCACAAGGGGGAGCAUUUGAUUACAUUAAAAAAUAACUGCAAUUGAUGUUUUCAGCAUUUUGUUCGUCAGAGGAUAGUACACCCAAUGUGCAAAAUGCUGAUCAGAGAUUUGGGGCAGGGGAUUAAUUCCAAAAUAUUUCACUUUCCCUGUAAUUCUUUUGCUUUACAGAGGCACUAAUCAGAAGUAUUUAAAUGAAGCCAGAUUUUUUUUUCAGUUUCAGGAAAUGUUACUGGUGAUACAUUUUGCAUAAUUUAAUGACAGUGAACCAAAUGAUAGAUGUGCAGAUUCUCACUACAGACUAAUAUUUGAAUGAGAAUUGAAAGAAUAGCAAGCUUUCCUCUGAGGUAAUAAUUCUCUUCCAGUUAGGAUCAAACAUAACUGAAAAAUGCUUUGGCAAUGUAAAAUUGCACAAGGAUCAUGGCAUCCUUGAUAUUUACAAUAAAGAAAGUAGAGCUCUUUAAGCUAAUCCCACUUCUCAACUUUUAGUGGGCAACUUCAUAAUUUAUAGCACCUCAUGUUCACUUGUGAUCAUUCUGGGGAUGUUUGCAUCCAUCACACUCUUUCAGCCAGACUUCCAGUCAUGCUCUUUGGUUGAAAAAUUAAUUUCUCCAUUCUGCAUAAUCUAUCUACUAGUUAUUCAUGUCACCUUGUUAAUGAGCUCAAUAAUAAAGGAGAUGGGUUCCCAUGUUAAUUCUGCCAAGGGCUCACAUAUCCUAUGCACCUCAAUUAAAUGCAAACACGAGGAAAUCUGCAGAUGCUGUA